UACGUAGGGUGCAAGCGUUAAUCGGAAUUACUGGGCGUAAAGCGUGCGCAGGCGGUUCUAUAAGACAGAUGUGAAAUCCCCGGGCUCAACCUGGGAACUGCAUUUGUGACUGUAGAGCUGGAGUACGGCAGAGGGGGAUGGAAUUCCACGUGUAGCAGUGAAAUGCGUAGAGAUGUGGAGGAACACCGAUGGCGAAGGCAGCCCCCUGGGCUAACACUGACGCUCAUGCACGAAAGCGUGGGGAGCAAACAGG
rnacentral:rRNA from 1 species